CUCAGGCUCCAAACCUAAGAAGCCAUUUCUACCACACCCUCCUGAGUUGAAUCAAGUGACAAAGUGUAGCAAUAUGAGAUGAAGAUUGUGGAGGGCAGCCAUGCACUUCAGGAGUGAGAGCCAGCUCCAACGAAUAGACAAGGCGAGGUGCACCUCAGGAGACCCCAGCAUGGGAUGGCUAGGGACCAGCAGAACAAGGGACAUCUCCUUGGAGGCCCGUAAAGAGCCAGGUAGUGCAGGAACUGGAAGCGUAGUAGACGUCCUUCCCCCGUUGUUGGGAUGGCACCUUAGUCAUGCCUGACCUGCAGGAACCUGGGAAGGAGCAGGAAUGGAAGAAUCUAGAAGCAGUUAGGCUUAAAUCCCAAAAAGAUAGUUAUCCAAAUGAGAUUGUAUUGACGUGAAAGGUGAUAUUUUAAACUGGAAGUGUUAAGAAAUACUAUAUUUUUUGGAACAACAGAGUGCUUUAUAUCCUCAUUCUACUUUCCAGCGUGUGUGCACUUUGACCUUGUUCCAUGAACUGAGUAAAGUAAAGUUCUGGGCACCACAGGAGCAGAGAAGAGGGGUAUCAAACCCAGACUGAGGUAGGGAAGGGAGUAGUGAGGUCGGGGAAGUUUUCCCCAAAGAGGAGUUGCUUGAGCAUUGUCUCAUUGUCAGGAACGUGGGUGAUGAAUGAGGAAGCCCCAGAACACAGUCGUCCUCACUUUUAAUUUAGUGUCCUUUACACUGAGCCAUCUGUCUUACUGCCACCUACAGCCAACCUGCUGCCUGCCUGGCACCAUCUGAAAGAAUGGGUAUAAGCAAAGUUGUUCCAGCCAGUAAAGAAAAUCUGACCGACUGUAGAUUUGAUUUUAUUACCUGAGAACUGACCAGAUUCACACAAAUAACAGAGGACUCAGAACUCCAGACAAGAGGAGGGCACACAUCACCCAUGGAGCCUCGUAGAGCUCUGGAGCUGAUGUGGAACCCAUUUUGGUGAUAUGUUAUAAACAAGCCAGUGGGGAACUCGGGAAGUGCAAGUAACUGCUUAAUCUGCAAAGGCUAGUCCAUCUCGUAGGAAAAGAAUAUAAUGGAACAACUGUAUGUGAGUAACACCAACCCUCUGAUGGUCCCAGGAAGAUGCUGAGCCCAGCAGACUCAGC
rnacentral:lncRNA from 1 species